rnacentral:lncRNA from 1 species
UCGAAUCUUUCUCCUAGAUUAAGGAGAUUGUUGUUUUGUUGUUAGUGGUUGCCAUCAUCAUCACAUUGAAAUCAACUUUAGUUAAUACUAGCCUCCUGCACGCGCUCACGGGCGUGCGGAAGGCCCUUUUGUAAUUAAGGCAUUCUACGUGCGACUUAAAUAAUUUAAAUGAUAACAAAAGAGCGGUUGCUCUCUGAUCUAAUUGCAGACACAAUCUGCAGAACCGUCUUCUAUGGGAUUUGAACUUGUGAAGUGUGAGGUGGAGACCUGAAUGUAACAAAUUGGUGUUAAGUGAAUAAUUCCAAACAUAUAAAAUUUAGAUCAUCACACCGAACGCAAACAGAACAAUUAAAUAAACAACUGAAGGCAUACGCAAUCUAAUUAGACAAAUAAGUGAACUUUCCCAUGCCGAAAUCUGAAAGGCCAACAGAAAUAUCUCAUUACAGCACAGAAGACAAAACUUAGGACAAAACUUAAAACUAAUCAAACUUAGGUGAACCAAUUAUAGAGAACAUAACCCUUGUAACCAAUCGGGAAAAGAUGCUUUUAAAUCCCAGAAAAAAAAAUUAAGAGGAGUUUUUUAAAAAACCAUCAUUUCAAUUAUUUUCCAGUCUUACAUUUGGAUUAAACAGAAAAUAUAAGUAAAAAUGCCAACUUUCUAAAAAAACUACAACUAUUUUUACAAAUUUCCAUUACCCAAUGCUGAAAAAUGAGAAUCACGAAGCAAUGAAGAACGGAACACGCGAGAACCAAAAAGUUAAAAACAACACGUAACCAUUUCAAAGACCCAAAAUCCUGCAAGGACAAAAAAAUCCCAUAAAAUCAGUACAUCAGCACUCCCUGCAAAACCCCAAAAUCAGAAAAUUAUAAAAAGAACCCAAAAUCAGUGGCAUGGUCCUCGUUUCUCCAUCAUUCAGUAGCUAAUGACCUAAUGGAAAAGAACCCAAAACAUACAGCUUAAAAUAUGGAAAGUGCUUAUAAAAGCUCAUGAAUAACGUUCAAAGCCUGCAUAGAAAUGGUAUAGCGCAGAUAACAACAAACAAUAAAACUAUGCACAGUAUAACCUAAAUCCGAUAUGUUGCAUUCCCCACACACAGAUUGUUCAAAAUUAAUUUCGUCUCCGUCUUUUUUCAAAUCUGAUAAAAUCCCCAAAACACAAAAAAUAGCAGCUAACUAUUUUUUGAACUCUGUAAACAACGAUAUGCAUCUUAACCCAUUUAACAUAUUCAUAAAAUAACAUCAAACACAUUUAUGCAUGAGAUAAUAUAGAAGUGAAGUCUCACAACUUUCAUAAAAAAUUAUUACUUUGUUAGAGAAAGGCUUGAAAAAAUAUGUAAAUUACUCACCUCUAUUACAAAAAUGUUACAACAGUAGACAAAAAAGGCCAAAAAUACCAAAAGCCGCACCUCCUGAAAUAAAAAACAUAACCAAACGACACAUUCUCAGUAUCUAAACGAUAUCCAGAAAAAAAGAAAUGAACAGACGAAACCCAUGUAAAUAUACAGAACAAACCAAAAAAAAAAAAAAGAACUGAAGCCAGUAAGAAGAUCACAAAUCUGAUAAAGCAAAAGGUAACAUAAUCUAUAUCGAUUUAAUUAUCCAUCCAAAAAGACAUUUGAAUGAAGAACAUUUUUAAGGAUCCAAACAACCAUUAAACUAAACAAUUAAAAGUAAAAACAGCAAAGCAUUCAUUGAAGAAAUAUAUAUAUAUAUAUAUAUUAUAACGUAUUUUGUUCUUUAUACCUAAAAGAAAAACAUUGGCUUUCUUGUAUGCACUGAAGUAUGCAUGUGUCGGAAAUUUACAAUCUAUAGAGACUCAAUCUCAGACUCAAAAAGACAUCUAAAGGAAAAGUAAUAAGAAAAAUAAGUAGUGGUUUUACCUAUACUCCAUGUGUGGACUCCAAUUUUCAAUCACAAUUCAAAAUUCAAGAGGCCUAUAAAUCAACCACAUAGGAAAUGAUCAGUGGAAGAAAAAGAAAAACAACUGAAGCCAAAAUAGCAUCUAACAAAUCAUUUAGAACCAUCACAGAAAACAAUUUUUGCAUAUAAGUAAUUUAAAGGAAUACCAUCAGGUCAUGCAUAUAUACAACGUACCCAAUUAGAUAAGUAGCACAUCAACAAUUGAUGAUCAAAAAGUUAGUCAGCCUCAAUUGCUUGAAUCUAAUUAACUCAAAGAUAAUAAACAGUCCAUUUAAUGCACGGGCUGACUAUCAAUUUUAUAAAGCUAUAAUUCUGUGCAGUUCAAAAACCAAGUGGAAGAAUAGGCAAAAACUAUCUCAUCGCCUGUAAAUGUAAUUAACUAAAUAUUAAACUUCACAGCCACAAAUAAACCUAAAUUCCUCCUAAAACUAUCUCAUUUAAGCUUGAUUUUACUAUAAUCUAUAAGUGUGGUAAAAAAUGGGAGGCCAAACGAUUUGUUAACAAAAAAGGUAGACAUAAAAGUAAAAGGAACAGGGCAGACAUUAGUUGAGGAGAAGCUAAUGUCACCUUGAAUUGACGACAAACAGUUCUUAUCUUCUCGAAUUAACGAAGAUAAGUACCAUUUUUCUUUAAUUCAAGGUAAUAUAAAAAGAAAUUAUACCUGUACAGUGUUCAGAUGUAGCAAUCCUAUGCAAUCGGCCAAAUGAUGUGUGUCCUCUCAAAGAUCUGUAUAUCCAUUACAGACUAAUCUUCAGUCUUGCAGAAAAUGAUAUGUUGACUACAAUUUCCCAUACUACUAAAAAACACAAAUAAUUCUAUCUACAAACCAAAUAAUAUGUGCAACUUUAUGCUACAAUGGUAGAAUAAGAUGGUUGUACAGGACGACACAAAGAUUGAGACUUUUUUUUACUUCUAAAAUUCUACACACUUUCGAGCCCUAAAUUUUCCCGGAAACAAAAAAAAGUGAAAGAAGUCGUACCUGGUUUGAGAGAGUGGGACACCAUCGGCGAGUUUGGUGUAGCAGUGAUGGCGGAGAUCUCUGGUGAGAAAGCUAAUAAGAUGGACAAAAUCAUUGAACAAAAAAAACCUCGCUUUUUAAAAUUAAAGUCAACAAAAAUUUGAACAAAGAAAAGAGAACUCAAACCCGAAACAAAUAAGUCGGAGAACUCGCCAGGAAACCCAAAGUUUCUGCAGGAUUGGCGAUUUCCUGAAAACCAAGCUUUUGUAGGUUUAAAAUUUCUUCCCUAAGGCAACAGAUCCAACAUUCCCAACUUUAGCUAUUUCAGCUACAUAAUAGAAAGAAAAAAAAAUUUAUAUAAUUAACUAAUCUGAUUUAAGAUUAAUCGAAAAGCUUGGAAAUUUCAGCUUUAAAAUUACAUGUCAGGCUGCAAAUCUAAUAAAAAGCGUAGAAUUUUAAAAAUGCUGACCUUAAAUACAGAGGCCUUCGCAGGCUGCAAAGAAGCGUUAGAAACCCGAAAAACCGGAUCUCCUGAAACCAAAAACAAAACCAAAUUAACCAUCAUCACCCAUAAUUCGAAGCCACAAACAUAAUCCCCAAAAUUACAACCCAAAAAUUUAAACAAAAAAACCCAUUUAUAAAUCCAAAUUUACACUCCCAAGUGCAAGACUCUAAGCUCCAACUGUUCUUUCUCAACUUUAGCUAUUUCAGCAACAUAACAUAAAUAAAAAGGUCGUACCCAGUGCACAAGGCUCCCGCUUUACGCAGGGUCUGGGAGAGGUGAAUGUCGGCUAGCCUUACCCCCAUUUUAUGGAGAGGCUGCUCCCAAGUCUCGAACCCGAGACCUACCGCUCAUGGGCGAAGACACUUGCCAUCGCACCAAGUGCGACCUCUAGCAACAUAACAUAAAUAAAAAGAUCGUACCCAGUGCACAAGGCUCCCGCUUUACGCAGGGUCUGGGAGAGGUGAACGUCGGCUAGCCUUACCCCCAUUUUAUGAAGAGGCUGGAACAUAACAUAAAUAAAUAAACAAAAUUAAUUUAACUAUAAUUAACUAAUAUGAUUUAAGAUUAAUCAAAAAACUUGGAAAUCUGCUUGAAUCCAAUCUCAAAAUUGAAAACGAACACUUCACUUUUACAAAAGUUGUACAAAGCAAAAAAAAAAAAACAGACAAAUCAAAGUCUCACAAAGGGCCACAACGACAGCAAAAUUGCAACAGAAAGAGGAAAAAUGUUCAAUCAAACCAUUGGAUAACUCUUCUAAGGCAGCCAAAAAAAAACCCACAAAUUCAAAACCACAAAAAUCCAAUCUAAAACAUCGAUUCACAGACUGAGAUGCACAAAAUGAUAUAUUAACAAAUCCAAAACGAAAUACAAAAAUUAAGAACCAACAAGCAAAAAAAUACUGAUUAUCCCCUGCAUACGUGAGCACACGUUCAAAAAGCCUCUCAAAGGCUGAGAUUCAACUUUCAAACAUAAAGACUUUAAGCCACAAUUGUUCUUUCUUAACUUUAGCUACUUCAGUUACAUAAUCGGAAAAAAAAAAUUAUUUAAUUAUAGUUAACUAAUCUGGGUUAAGAUUAAUAAAAAAGCUUGGAAAUUUCAGAUCUAAAAUCACACCUCAGGCUGCAAGUAGAAUCAAAACCAUGGAAUUUCAAAAUCACUGACCUUAAACACACAGGUCUUCGCAGGCUUCAAAGAAAAGUCACAAACUCGAAAAACCCAAUCUCCUGAAAUCGAAAACAAAACCAAAUUAACCAUCAUCACCUAGAAUCCGAAGCUACAAAACAAAAUUCCCAAAAUCAAAACCAAAAAAUUUGAACAAAAAACUCAUUUAAUAUCCAAAUUUACACUCCCAAGCACAUAACAUUCAAAGCAGACAAUUACCCAAAUCAAAUCGACAGCAGGAGAUGCAAUCUUUUAUGGGCUUCAAAUUUUCUUCAAACCGAGACCAAAUUCGCUAGUUUUCAGCAAGAGAGCGUUGCCGUUUGUAACCCCCGAUGAAAAGAUCCAAACAAAUUUGACUAACAGUAGACAGAGAGAGAGAGAGAUAGAGAGAGAGAGGUGAAAAUUACUCGCUGGUGACGAAGCUAAUGAAUUCGGAGACGCAUUCCUGGACGGUGUUCGACUGAUCGGCACGAGUAGAGACACCAGAUCAGAAAGACAGAAAAAUUAGGGUUUGGGAGAUAAAGAAACUGGGGCAGAGAGAGAGGGAAAGAGAAGCAGAAAAGAGGAUAAUUUUAUGCAUUUUUUUUAGCCGCUUUGAAUUUUUUUUGGCCGACAGGCAUUUGCGUCCGAUUAUUUUUGUCGAAGCCGGUGACACCAAAACCGGCCUCCGGCUUUCGGACCAGGAUUGUCUGCCCCUUCAUUUUCCCUGCCAUGU